UACGUAGGGGCAAGCGUUGUCCGGAUUUAUUGGGCGUAAAGAGCGUGUAGGCGGCCAGACAGGUCCGUUGUGAAACUAGAGGCUUAACCUCUAGACGUCGAUGGAACCGUUUGGCUAGAGUCCGGAAGAGGAGAAUGGAAUUCCUGGUGUAGCGGUGAAAUGCGCAGAUAUCAGGAAGAACACCCGUGGCUAAGGCGGUUCUCUAGUACGGUACUGACGCUGAGACGCGAAAGCGUGGGGAGCGAACAGG
rnacentral:rRNA from 1 species